AACGAACGCUGGCGGCAUGCCUAACACAUGCAAGUCGAACGAGACCUUCGGGUCUAGUGGCGCACGGGUGCGUAACGCGUGGGAACCUGCCCUUAGGUUCGGAAUAACUCCCCGAAAGGGGUGCUAAUACCGGAUAAUGUCUUCGGACCAAAGAUUUAUCGCCUUUGGAUGGGCCCGCGUUGGAUUAGCUAGUUGGUAGGGUAAAAGCCUACCAAGGCGACGAUCCAUAGCUGGUCUGAGAGGAUGAUCAGCCACACUGGGACUGAGACACGGCCCAGACUCCUACGGGAGGCAGCAGUGGGGAAUAUUGUACAAUGGGCGAAAGCCUGAUCCAGCAAUGCCGCGUGAGUGAUGAAGGCCUUAGUGUUGUAAAGCUCUUUUACCCGGGAUGAUAAUGACAGUACCGGGAGAAUAAGCUCCGGCUAACUCCGUG
rnacentral:rRNA from 1 species